GGGGGAAACCCUGAUCCAGCCAUGCCGCGUGAGUGAUGAAGGCCCUAGGGUUGUAAAACUCUUCGGCGGGGACGAUAAUGACGGUACCCGCAGAAGAAGCUCCGGCUAACUUCGUGCCAGCAGCCGCGGUAAUACGAAGGGGGCUAGCGUUGUUCGGAAUUACUGGGCGUAAAGCGCGCGCAGGCGGUUCUUCAAGUCAGAGGUGAAAGCCCGGAGCUCAACUCUGGAAUGGCCUUUGAGACUAGAGAACUAGGGUACGGGAGAGGUGAGUGGAAUUCCGAGUGUAGAGGUGAAAUUCGUAGAUAUUCGGAAGAACACCAGUGGCGAAGGCGGCUCACUGGCCCGUUACCGACGCUCAGGCGCGACAGCGUGGGGAGCAAACAGGAUUAGAUACCCUGGUAGUUCACGCCGUAAACGAUGGAUGCUAGCCGUUGGUAAGCAUGCUUAUCAGUGGCGCAGCUAACGCAUUAAGCGUCCCGCCUGGGGAGUACGGCCGCAAGGUUG
rnacentral:rRNA from 1 species